CUUUCAUACAAACUUCCAACCCCCGUUUUACCCCCUUAGGGGUCGAGUUUCGUAAAAUCCGUUCUUAGCGGAUGUCUACGACCUAUAAGGAGCCUACAAUUGAGGAGCUAAAUUUCAAGUUUGUAGGUGUUAUAGUUUCGGAGAUUUCGUGAUCAGUGAGUCAACCUACGAACCCCCGUUUUAACCCCAAAAAGGAGUUAAUUUCUAAAUAUACAUUAUUUGGACACC
rnacentral:misc_RNA from 1 species